UUCGUUUUGUACGGAGAGUUUGAUCCUGGCUCAGGACAAACGCUGGCGGGGUGCAUGAGACAUGCAAGUCGAACGAGGUGCCAUCGGGCUUGCUCGAUGGUUACCUAGUGG
rnacentral:rRNA from 1 species